ACCGAAUAGAUACCCGGGUAGUCCCACGCCCUAAACGAUGCGAACUGGAUGUUGGGUACGAUUACGGUACUCAGUGUCGAAAGCUAAACGCGUUAAGUUCGCCGCCUGGGGAGUACGGUCGCAAGACUGAAACUACAAAGGAAUUGACGGGGGCCCGCACAAGCGGUGGAGUAUGUGGUUUAAUUCGAUGCAACGCGAAGAACCUUACCUGGCCUUGACAUCUGUCGAAUCCUGCAGAGAUGCGGGAGUGCCGCAAGGAACGACAAGACAGGUGCUGCAUGGCCGUCGUCAGCUCGUGUCGUGAGAUGUUGGGUUAAAGUCCCGCAACGAGCGCAACCCUUGUCCCUAGUUGCCAGCACGUAAUGGUGGGAACUCUAGGGAGACUGCCGGUGACAAACCGGAGGAAGGUGGGGAGUGACGUCAAGUCCU
rnacentral:rRNA from 1 species